AACGCGAAGAACCUUACCUGGGCUCGAAAUGUAGUGGAAUGGGGUGGAAACAUCCCCGUCUCGCAAGAGACUGCUAUAUAGGUGCUGCAUGGCUGUCGUCAGCUCGUGUCGUGAGAUGUUGGGUUAAGUCCCGCAACGAGCGCAACCCUUAUUACCUGUUGCUAACGCGUAAUGGCGAGGACUCGGGUGAAACUGCCUGGGAUAACCAGGAGGAAGGUGGGGAUGACGUCAAGUCCUCAUGGCCUUUAUGUCCAGGGCUACACACGUGCUACAAUGGUCGGUACAAACCGUCGCAAACCCGCGAGGGGGAGCUAAUCGGAAAAAGCCGGCCUCAGUUCGGAUUGGAGUCUGCAACCCGACUCCAUGAAGCUGGAAUCGCUAGUAAUCGCGGAUCAGAACGCCGCGGUGAAUACGUUCCCGGGCCUUGUACACACCGCGUGUCU
rnacentral:rRNA from 1 species